rnacentral:rRNA from 1 species
UACGUAGGGUCCGAGCGUUGUCCGGAAUUACUGGGCGUAAAGAGCUCGUAGGUGGUUUGUCGCGUUGUUCGUGAAAACUCACAGCUCAACUGUGGGCGUGCGGGCGAUACGGGCAGACUAGAGUACUGCAGGGGAGACUGGAAUUCCUGGUGUAGCGGUGGAAUGCGCAGAUAUCUGGAGGAACACCGGUGGCGAAGGCGGCGUUCUGGACUGUAACUGACACUGAAAAACGAAAGCCAGGGGAGCAAACGGG